AUUGAACGCUGGCGGCAGGCCUAACACAUGCAAGUCGAACGAGUCGCGGACGCGUGAGUAAUGUCUGGGACACUGCCUGAUGGAGGGGGAUAACUACUGGGAACGGUAGCUAAUUCCGCAUACCAUCAGAUGUGCCCAGAUGGGUUUAGCUUGUUGGUGGGGUAAAGGCUCACCAAGGCGACGAUCCAUUGCUGGUCUGAGAGGAUGACCAUCCACACUGGAACUGAGACAAGGUCCAGACUCCUACGGGAGGCAGCAGUGGGGAAUAUUGGACAAUGGGCGCAAGCCUGAUGCAGCCAUGCCGCGUGUAUGAAGAAGGCCUUCGGGUUGUAAAGUACUUUAAGCGGGGAGGCGUUACCCGCAGAAGAAGCACCGGCUAACUCCGUGCCAGCAGCCGCGGUAAUUC
rnacentral:rRNA from 1 species